UACGGAGGGUGCAAGCGUUGCUCGGAAUUAUUGGGCGUAAAGGGUAGGUAGGUGGCCUGUUAAGUCAGGGGUGAAAGACGGUAGCUCAACUAUCGCAGUGCCCUUGAUACUGAUGGGCUUGAAUGAACUAGAGGUAGGCGGAAUGUGACAAGUAGCGGUGAAAUGCAUAGAUAUGUCACAGAACACCAAUUGCGAAGGCAGCUUACUAUGGUUUUAUUGACACUGAGGCACGAAAGCGUGGGGAUCAAACAGG
rnacentral:rRNA from 1 species